GAUGAACGCUAGCGGCAGGCCUACCACAUGCAAGUCGAGGGGUAACUAGAGUGAUAGCAAUAUUACUUUGGCUAGACCGGCGCACGGGUGCGUAACACGUAUGCAACCUACCUUAUACUGGGGAAUAACUUCGAGAAAUCGGCGCUAAUACCCCAUAACAUUGCGAAGAGGCAUCUCUUUGCAAUUAAAGCUCCGGCGGUAUAAGAUGGGCAUGCGUCCAAUUAGCUAGUCGGUGAGGUAACGGCUCACCAAGGCUACGAUUGGUAGGGGUUCUGAGAGGAUGAUCCCCCACACUGGUACUGAGACACGGACCAGACUCCUACGGGAGGCAGCAGUGAGGAAUAUUGCGCAAUGGACGAAAGUCUGACGCAGCCAUGCCGCGUGCAGGAUGACGGCCCUAUGGGUUGUAAACUGCUUUUGUACGGGAAUAAACCCUUCUACGUGUAGGAGGCUGAAGGUACCGUAAGAAUAAGCACCGGCUAACUCCGUGCCAGCCGCCGCGGUAAUAC
rnacentral:rRNA from 1 species